GAUGAACGCUGGCGGCGUGCUUAACACAUGCAAGUCGAACGGUGAAGCAGGAGCUUGCUCUUGUGGAUCAGUGGCGAACGGGUGAGUAACACGUGAGCAACCUGCCCCUGACUCUGGGAUAAGCGCUGGAAACGGCGUCUAAUACUGGAUAUGUGAUGUGACCGCAUGGUCUGCAUCUGGAAAGAAUUUCGGUUGGGGAUGGGCUCGCGGCCUAUCAGCUUGUUGGUGAGGUAAUGGCUCACCAAGGCGUCGACGGGUAGCCGGCCUGAGAGGGUGACCGGCCACACUGGGACUGAGACACGGCCCAGACUCCUACGGGAGGCAGCAGUGGGGAAUAUUGCACAAUGGGCGGAAGCCUGAUGCAGCAACGCCGCGGGAGGGAUGACGGCCUUCGGGUUGUAAACCUCUUUUAGCAGGGAAGAAGCGGAAGUGACGGUACCUGCAGAAAAAGCACCGGCUAACUACGUGCCAGCCGCCGCAGUAA
rnacentral:rRNA from 1 species